GGUGUCCCUGCGGGAAGGGGACGGCGAUCCCCUGGCUAGCCUGUACGAUGGCCUUGACGUGGACAGCACAGCGGGAGAGGCCCCAUUUUUCACCAAGGUGGUGGCCCUGCUGGGAAGGGAGAGUGGUAAGUAUGCUGUCCUCUAGAGUCACUCAUUGGCUUGGAGCAACCUGGACAAUGGGCAAGGUGGGGCUUCCUUGCAGGCUCCAUCUUGAGAGCCACCCAGAAUCCAGAACCUGUUGCAACGAGACUAAGGGUCACGCUCCGGACCGAGACCCGAGGCCUCGUGACCCUGGCCCCGGAAGCUACCGUGCUGCUCUUAGGUGCU